rnacentral:rRNA from 1 species
UACGUAGGGGGCAAGCGUUGUCCGGAAUCAUUGGGCGUAAAGCGCGUGUAGGCGGUUCGGUAAGUCUGCUGUGAAAGUCCAGGGCUCAACCCUGGGAUGCCGGUGGAUACUGUCGGACUAGAGUUCGGUAGGGGAGACUGGAAUUCCUGGUGUAGCGGUGAAAUGCGCAGAUAUCAGGAGGAACACCGGUGGCGAAGGCGGCAUCCUGGACCAAUAUUGACGCUGAGGAGCGGAAGCCAGGGGAGCAAACGGG